rnacentral:ribozyme from 1 species
GCUGCUCAAGUAUGCUACCUCUCCGUGGUGAGCAGUAGGCAACGAGAAACUCUCUCGGCUAAAGUAUAU